rnacentral:rRNA from 1 species
GGUUAAGCGACUAAGCGUACACGGUGGAUGCCUUGGCAGUCAGAGGCGAUGAAGGACGUGCUAAUCUGCGAUAAGCGUCGGUAAGGUGAUAUGAACCGUUAUAACCGGCGAUUUCCGAAUGGGGAAACCCAGUGUGUUUCGACACACUAUCAUUAACUGAAUCCAUAGGUUAAUGAGGCGAACCGGGGGAACUGAAACAUCUAAGUACCCCGAGGAAAAGAAAUCAACCGAGAUUCCCCCAGUAGCGGCGAGCGAACGGGGAGCAGCCCAGAGCCUGAAUCAGUGUGUGUGUUAGUGGAAGCGUCUGGAAAGGCGCGCGAUACAGGGUGACAGCCCCGUACACAAAAAUACACAU